rnacentral:lncRNA from 1 species
AACGAAAUUUUCUUUUACCUUUUUUGGCGGUCAGAGGUAGCUCUGGCAUGGCGGCGGGCGGCGGUCGGCUCCUUUCUCCAACGACUGGUUCUUCUUCUCAAGCGAGUUACUGGCGGCUAAGGUUAGGGUUCGGUGUGAAGUGAAAUAUUUAUACCUGUCUCUCUUUAAUCUGGAUCGUCCAUCGCGUGUUUAAAGAAAAAAUUAAUCUGGAUCAUUCAUUGUCAUUUGAUCUGGACCGUACGAUCGCCAUUUAAAAAGAAAA